rnacentral:rRNA from 1 species
UACGGAGGGUGCAAGCGUUAUCCGGAUUCACUGGGUUUAAAGGGUGCGUAGGCGGGUUUGUAAGUCAGUGGUGAAAUCUCCAAGCUUAACCUGGAAACUGCCGUUGAUACUAUAAAUCUUGAAUGUUGUGGAGGUGAGCGGAAUAUGUCAUGUAGCGGUGAAAUGCUUAGAUAUGACAUAGAACACCAAUUGCGAAGGCAGCUCACUACACAAAGAUUGACACUGAGGCACGAAAGCGUGGGGAUCAAACAGG